rnacentral:rRNA from 1 species
CCUACGGGUGGCAGCAGUGAGGAAUAUUGGUCAAUGGGCGAGAGUCUGAACCAGCCAAGUAGCGUGAAGGAUGACUGCCCUACGGGUUGUAAACUUCUUUUAUAAAGGAAUAAAGUGAAGCACGUGUGCCUUUUUGUAUGUACUUUAUGAAUAAGGAUCGGCUAACUCCGUGCCAGCAGCCGCGGUAAUACGGAGGAUCCGAGCGUUAUCCGGAUUUAUUGGGUUUAAAGGGAGCGUAGAUGGGUUGUUAAGUAAGUUGUGAAAGUUUGCGGCUCAACCGGAAAAUUGCAAUUGAUACUGGCAGUCUUGAGUGCAGCUGAGGUAGGCGGAAUUCGUGGUGUAGCGGUGAAAUGCUUAGAUAUCACGAAGAACUCCGAUUGCGAAGGCAGCUUACUAAACUGCCACUGACGUUGAUGCUCGAAAGUGUGGGUAUCAAACAGGAUUAGAUACCCGUGUAGUC